CAACAUCAGAACAGUAUAUGAAUAUGGCAAAUGCUGUUUUGACAUCAUUUCCUGCCAUCCUGAGAAAAAGUGAUCACGAGGAGCAUGAAUUGCAGGUGCAAUGGAAAUUGCGCAUCCAGCGCAAGUUUCAGAAUUCAAGAAAGAGGCAGGAUUCCUCAGUGACUGAGGUGACGUGAAGGAAAAAGAAGAUCCCUUGCAUAGCGCCAAAAGAGACUACGUGCCCACUGAUGUAUGGAGUAAAGGCUUACCUUCCACCAAGGCCCCAUUCAGAAGAUGAUGAGUCAUUAGAGAGACAUAGACAGUGGCUUGCUCUACAUUGGAUGAAGAAAGAUCCCGAGUUAGAUAAGAUAAUCAAGAAGUUUCUGAGAUUAGAACCACAAGCGGAUGAACCAAACCCAAGAGUAGCAGUUUUGAAAGGGCUGGAGAAAUAUAGGCUCCCAAUAAUUGCAAUUCUCAAAAAAAAAGAAAAGCAGUUCCUCUGUAUAUGGAAACCUUACUUGAACUAUAUGACCACGAUGAAAGUCAAUGUGAGUAAUGUCUAGUUCAAUUUGUUCAUUUUGAGUAGCUGGUAGCAAUUUAAUAUAUGUAUCUUUUCAUCAUUAGCAAUGCAUCUUUCACUUUUAUAAGCCUAG